UGGAAGCAGCUAUUCCUUUAAAGAGUGCGUAACAGCUCACUGGUCGAGCGACAGGGCGUCGAUAAUAAUCGGGCAUCAAACCUAAUACCGAAGCGAAGGAUUGCAGCAAUGCAGUGGUAGGGGAGCAUUCCAAAGACGGCGAAGGUAUCUCGUAAGGGGUGCUGGAGACUUUGGAAAAGCAAAUGUAGGCAUAAGUAACGAUAAGGCGGGCGAGAAACCCGCCCACCGUAAGACCCAGGUUUCCUGAUCAACGUUAAUCGGAUCAGGGUUAGUCGGGGCCUAAGGCGAACCCGAAGGGGGUAGUCGAUGGACAAUGGGUUAAUAUUCCCAUACUAUUUAUACAGGUGAUGGAGUGACGGAGUGAUGAAAGAUCCGCCCGGUGACGGAAUACCGGGUUAAAGCGAGUAGGUAUUGGUCUGGUAGUUAAAUGCGCCGGACUAGCCGAACGUGAUAGUACCGAGCGUCUUCGGACAAUUGGAUAGUGAUCCUAAGGGCUUCCAAGAAAAACUUCUAGCGUUAAGCGUAUAGAUACCCGUACCGCAAACCGACACAGGUGGUCGAGGAGAGAAUCCUAAGGUGCUCGAGUGAAUCAUGGCUAAGGAACUCGGCAAAAUGGCCCUGUAACUUCGGGAGAAGGGGCGCCCCCUGCGAGGGGGGCCGCAGUGAAGAGGCCCAGGCGACUGUUUAACAAAAACACAUGGCUUUGCAAAGUUUAACGACUAAGUAUAAGGCCUGACACCUGCCCGGUGCUGGAAGGUUAAGAGGGGAUGUUAGCGCAAGCGAAGCAUUGAAUCGAAGCCCCAGUAAACGGCGGCCGUAACUAUAACGGUCCUAAGGUAGCGAAAUUCCUUGUCGGGUAAGUUCCGACCUGCACGAAUGGUGUAACGAUCUGGGCACUGUCUCAGCCAUGAGCUCGGUGAAAUUGUAGUAACGGUGAAGAUGCCGUUUACCCGCAGUGGGACGAAAAGACCCCGUGCACCUUUACUAUAGCUUCGUAUUGACCCUGGAUAAGUAAUGUGUAGGAUAGCUAGGAGACUUUGAAGCGGCGUCGCCAGGCGUUGUGGAGUCAUUGUUGAAAUACUAGCCUUUGCUUAUUUGGGGCCUAACUCUCGAGAGAGAGGACAGUGCGUGGUGGGUAGUUUGACUGGGGUGGUCGCCUCCAAAAGAGUAACGGAGGCUUCUAAAGGUUCCCUCAGCACGCUUGGUAAUCGUGCGUAGAGUGCAAUGGCAUAAGGGAGCUUGACUGAGAGACAUACAAGUCGAUCAGGUAGGAAACUAGAGCAUAGUGAUCCGGUGGUUCCGCAUGGAAGGGCCAUCGCUCAAAGGAUAAAAGGUACGCUGGGGAUAACAGGCUGAUCUCCCCCAAGAGCUCAUAUCGACGGGGAGGUUUGGC
rnacentral:rRNA from 1 species